rnacentral:lncRNA from 1 species
CCGACCUCAGGCCGCGGAGGCCGAAACCGAGGCCAAUGACGUUGUUGUAGAGCCUGAGCAGCGGGGGCGUGGUGGUUGUAGGUACGGAUGUUGCGGAUCCUACGCUUUUGGACGGUGCAGCGCUUGCUGCAGCAAAGCCCAAGCUGAGGAGGCUAUGAAGACCGAGGCUGUUGAGGAGAACGCUGUUGAGCCUCAGCAAAGGGGUGGUGGUUGUAGGUACGGAUGUUGCGGAUCAUGGCGUUAUGGACGGUGCAGCUACUGUUGCCGAGGUCCUCAAGCCGAGGCUGAAGUUGUUGAGCCCCAGCAAAUCCGUAGAUGUAGGUACGGUUGCUGCGGAAGGUACCCUUAUGCGCGGUGCAGUGUUUGUUGUACCAAAAAGAUGGCUACAGAGGAAGAGACGAAAACGGAAGAAGCUAAGCCAUGAAUUGGCGUGUAACACAAACUCUUAUGUUUGUAUGCAUGGAAUGCAUGGUUAUUACUAUUACGUACGUGUGUCAAAAUAAGAGAAAUGUUUCAAAGCUCUAUGUAGCUCAAUAAAAGAAGUCUUAGGUUCUUAUAACAUGUAUUUUGUUAUGUGGUGUUUUCUCGUGAAGAUUACAAUAAUAACAACUGUUUAAUAUCAAAUCGUCACGGUAUUUAACUUAUAGUAAUGAAAAGCAUGUCGCUAGCUAGGUUAAAAAAAAAUCAUAGUAUUGUAUAAUAUGUCAAUAUGGUAUCAUGUAGAUUUGCUAUCCUAAGCUUAAACAUUAUGAAUACUGACGGUGACAGCUGUUUACUAUGAUGAUGGAAACAUAUAUUUUGCGUUUUUCUAGAUUUUAUGGAUAUCCAUUUAUUUCUCGUUUCACCCUCGGAGACCUUUGAUGCUAUGCCACUACGGCCAUCCUGUUCCCUUGUACUUGACCCAAUAUUUUUUUUUUUUUGAACUUAGCUUUCAAAUUUAAAAUGCAGAAAAAGAAAAGAAAUACAAGCCCAUAAGCCAUAGUUUGUUGGAGCAGCUAGAGCUCAAUUACUUUCAACACACAUUACAUUACAGAUCGAAUAGGCAGUAAGCCCAAUAGUCAAACAAGAAGUGGAAGAGGCAGACUUCGAUCAUCACGAUCAGAUCCCAUGACGUAGUUAACGGAGGCUGUGCGAUCGGAAUAAGUUGAAGGAGGUGGUGAUAAAAACGCUCAGAUGAGCCAUUGCUGCAUCAGUGUUGAAGAUCUUGAGGAGCUAGUAUGGCGAAGCGAAAGGAUCAUGUCUUUGAUCUUGCCGGUGUAUCCGUGCGUUUCUCUCCCUCCAGGUCCAGUAUAUACAUCCUUGCCAGCAUAGACGAAGCAGCAUACCAGUCGUCGAUCGAGGACUUGUCAAUUGAAUCUGCAUCAAAACACGAUCCCAAUUCUGUUCAGGGCGAAUCCCACACCUUGGAGCAAGGCGACCCCAAAUACUCCAGGAGUAUUGGCAGUUGAAGAAGAGAUGGUCUCUGGACUCUUCGGCUUGAUUGCACAAGACGCAAGCAGUAUCUGUUUGAAACCCCCACCCUCUGAUCCUGUCUCUAGUAGGGCACCGAUUCAAGACAAAGAGCCAAGUUAGGAAGCUGUGUCUGGGUAUCCCAGCUUUAUUCCAUACCGAUUCACACCAAGGCACCGAAGCUCCUGCGAGACAAAUCUUUUCAUAAAUUUUGCCCAUACUGUAAGUAUCUGAUACCUUUCCAUCAACCUCCCAUUCAUAAUAGUCCUCAAUCUCAUUAAGGUUUAUUGUCGUUAGCAACGCAUGAAUGUUGACCAAGCGCUCUGAUCUUGCAGGGGGUAGCAUCCAGUUAUUGUUGAUAUGUAGAGUGGCUAGUGUAGCAUGAUCAGGAAUUCCCAGCGUGGAAGCGCUACCGUCAAGCAGAUAAGAUCUCAGGGAACCGUAAGGAGACCAAUUAUCACUCCAGAAGAGACAGGACUGGCCAUUCUGCACUCUUAGUUUAACACAACUGAAGAUUUCCGAGCUCAGUUUAAGGAGCUUGUUGACCUGCCAUGAGUAGCGACGGUUAGGGGGCGUGAUCCAAAGGUUGCUCAGGUUACCAUUCAACACCUCUGUCUUGAACCAAGCAACCCACACCGAACCUGACUGGAAGAACAAGAGCCAGAUAAGCUUGAGGCAACACGCCUUGUUCCAGAUGGAGAGGUUUUUAAUUCCCAAACCUCCUUCCCUCUUAGGUUUUGUGACUACUUCCCAUGAAACUCUCGCUGUAUGGUGUUGCUCUAUAUUCCCUUGCCAAAGAAAGACCCCACAAAGGGAAUUUAUCCUUUUUACGCAGGCUUGAGGAAGGAUAAAUGUUGAGCACCAGAACGUGGUUAUGCCAGUGAUAACUGUCUUGAUGAGCAGAAGACGUCCAGCAAAAGAUAAGGAUUUAGCGCUCCAUGAUGAAAGCCUGGUUUUGAUCUGCUGAAGGAGUCCUUCACAGUUUAAGAGCGACAAUUUCUUCGUGCAUAAGGGGACACCUAAGUAGCGGACCGGAAGAGUACCCAUAGGCAUGCCUGUUGAGAACUUGAUCAGGUCCGUUUCAGCUUCCGUCAUACCUGAGGCGAAGAAGGAUGAUUUUUGCACACUAACAGCAAGACCUGAUCUCAGUUCAAACUCUCGAAGUACCUGCAACACAGCUUGGACAGAGGCUAGGGAUCCAUCUAUGAAGAUCAACAAAUCAUCAGCAAAACUCAAAUGAGUAAGCUUAGAUGGCUGGCAUUUGAGGUGGUACUUGAAUUUCAUCUCGCGGGCCGCACGGUUUAGCAUAAGUGAGAGAUUAUUCAUAGCAAUCACAAAGAGAUAGGGUGAAAGUGGGUCACCUUGCCUCAAGCCUCGAGUCCCUUUGAAGUAGCCGUGCACGUAGCCAUUGUAUCCUACUGUGAAGUUCGUCGUACAUAUACAUGCUUUGAGCCAAGAGAGGAGCUUUUCAGGAAUGUUCAAGCUUUGGAGACAGGAGAAGAGAAAGCUCCAAGACAAGGUAUCAAAAGCCUUUGCGAUAUCAACUUUAAUUGUUAUUCUUUUAGUACCAGUGUUUUUAUGAUACCCUUGAACAAGCUCUCCUGCAAGGGAUGUGUUCUCCACUAACAGUCGACCUUUGACAAAUGCAGUCUGAUUCGGAACAAUGAGUGAGGGCAGGAUGAUCUUUAAUUUCUUCACAAGCAACCGCGAGACAACCUUGUAGAUGGUGUUUAAGCACGAGAUAGGACGGUAGUCCGUGAUUAGUGAUGCACCCGGGUGCUUUGGAACCAAUGACAAGAUUGUUGCGUUCGUUGAGGCAGGCAUGAAAGAGGAGUGAAAGAACUGUUGGAUCGAUUGCAGAACCUCAGGGCCUAAGAUACUCCAAGAUGCUUUAUAAAACCCAGAGGUAAGCCCAUCAGGCCCAGGAGCUUUAUUCUGGUUAAUCUUAAACAUGACUGACGUAAUCUCUUCUGCCGUAGGUAAUGAGAGCAUCUGAGAGCGUUGACUAUCCGAGCAAGAGUAUCCCGUCAAUGAGUGAAACCAGAGGGAGGAAGACACAAUUCUAACAGGAGGGGCAGGAACUGGCCCUAGAAUACUUUGGAAAUGAGAGACCGCAUGGAUACUCAUCUGAAUAGAGUCAAUGAUGAUGACACCCGAGGGAAGAAAGAAAGACCGGAUGAAGUUGAAGUUCAGUCGAGUUUGGACUGUCCUGUAGAAGAAGGUAGUAUUUUGAUCUCCUUCUUUCAACCAGUUGACUCGAGAACGUUGUUUAAAAUAGCUUUCCUCUAUUUCCCUCAAGAAGUUCCAUGUCUGGAGCGCUUGCUUCUCCAAUUCAAAUAGCUGAGUCGUUGGUGAGUGUAAAACCUGAACCUGCACAUCUAGCAAAACACGGUUAGCCUCACUAACUCUCACUUGGAUUUGUGAAAAAUUCUCUUUAUUUAGUUGUUUCAAAUCUCCUUUUAUCUGUUUUUGUUUCCAGUAAAGUGCGGUGAGGUUCCCGACAGUGUCUCCGGCCUGUGUCCACGCAUCAGAAACCACUUGGAGAAAGCUAGGGUGCUUAGAGAGGUAGUUGUAGAAUUUGAAGGGCCUGUUGCCAGAGGAUGGGAUUUUAGUAGCUAGGUCAAGGGUACAAGGGGUGUGGUCGGAGGUUAGGUUUGGAUGGAAGUAGGCUGAGCAAUGAGGAAAAAUGUUAAAAACAGGAUUGUUGAUCAGCAGCCGAUCAAGUUUUUUAGCUAUUGGGGAUUCAGGCCGAUGAUUUGUCCAGGUGAAAAGAGGCCCCUGAUACCGCAGGUCGAAGAGACCCAACUGAACAAGGCAAUCCUUUAGCUCAACCAUAUCUGUCGUGAGGGAGUUUACAUCAGGGAGUGAAUGCUCCACUGGGUGGAUGAUCUGGUUGAAGUCACCACCAAGUAUCCAAGGUACAGAGUCCAGUGAGUAAGUUUGAUAGACAUUUAACAGAUCAAUCCAAAGAUCUAUGCGCUCAUCUCUUUCAUUUGAAGCGUAGAUGGCUGUGAAGAUGAACAUGGCACAACCAGGAAUCUGAACCUCACAGGUGACAGACUGCCUUGACUGAUGGAGUACUCGAACAGCAAUAGUAUUUCUCCAUAUGAUCACAAUCCUUCCAUCAUCAUCAGAAGCAUGGUUUGAGGUGUAGUUCCAACCUCGACAAAUCUUUCCCAUUAUUUGACUCAAGUUUUGAUCUUUUAUGUGUGUUUCUAGAAUAGUACCAAAAAGGGGCUGAUGAGUAGCUAUCCAAUCACAAAAAGGCUUAUGUUUGACCGGGUCAUUUAGACCUCGGACAUUCCAAAAAAAUAAUUUAUUAUACAUAGGGGUUUAGUCAAUGGUCUCUUCAUGGAGAAGAGAACCAUCUAGAGCCAAAACAGAGAAAGAGUUUUUUGAGAGAUUGACAGAUAAGGGACAAGGCUGAGGGAGAGUAAGAGUGUGAUUCAGGGGUGAUUUAAAAGAGGCAAAAUAGGAGAGUUGAUCAGUGAAAGAAGGGAAGGUUUUUGGGUUUGAGGCAGGUCGAGGUCUUUUUAGGGAUGGGGCAUAGAAGGAAUCAGGUGGGCUUAAAAGGCCGGAGGGGAUUUCAGGGUUAGAGGGAGUAGGAAUGAGGGGUCCGGAAGGCAAGGGGGAGAACAGAGGUGGAGUUGAGAGUUUUUUGGGAUGGUUUUUUACUAAGUUGAGAGGCAGUUUAGAGGGAGUGGUUUUGAUAGUGGUAUUGACUGAAGAGUCAUGAAGGUUACCAUGGGUGGGAGUUAAAGAGAAGAUAGUUUUUGGAUCAGAGAUAGGGAUGGGGUGUGAGGGAGGUAUGGCAGUGGAGGAUGAAGCAACAUCAACUUUAGUAUUACUUUGUGGGUCUAAGGGGCCUUUAUUUUUUUCCCUUGAUGUAGCAUCAGUUGAUUUGGGCACUUUCUUUGCAGGUGUAUUCACUGACUUUUCAGGCAGGGGAAGGAGGAGGCAGUUACGAGCUAUAUGACCAAGCUCCUUACAAUGCGAGCAGGUAGGCGGAAUCCAGGGGUAAGCCACCUGAACCUCUACGACCUCACCAUUUUCCCUACUGAAUUCAACUACACUUGGCAGAGGCUUUGAAAGAUCAACAGCCACUUUCACAUGAGAGAGAGUUAAACUCACCAAGUUUUUAGUGAAAUCAUCAGUUUCCUUAGGCUCACCAACUAAACCUGCAACAAGGCUCAAUCCAUCUGUAUGGCGGAGGUCAAGAGGGACUCCAGUCAGAUGAGCCCAUAACUGGAUAGUUUCCAGAGGGGGCUUAGUAGCGGAUGCUGACGAAGACCACUGAACAGCAUGAAACAUUGAUUCACCUACAUACCAUGCACUCUUCUCAAGUAUUUUCUGUCUCAAGUAGUCAGAAGGAAUCCGAACUAACAUUGAGCGGGAGGAAGGGUUAGUAUGAAUUUCCACUCUUUUUCCUUUUCCCCACAUGUGAUUGAGCACACUUUUUAUUUGGUUGAAUGGAGGCAGUCGUCCAUUAAACCAGCAGAUGAUGAAAUCUUUGUGUAUCUCAGCACCUUGUUGGAAUACGCUAUCAGGGAUUAGUACGCGAGGAAUGCCUUUGUCAGUUAGAGUGACCGGUGCAAGACGCUUUAGGGUUUUGUCUUCAACCUUCCGAAGGCGUUCAACAAGGGGAGGCACAUAAGUUGAAUGUGGCCGAGCUUGGGACACACCGACAGGGUCAGGAGUUGGGGGUAAGUUUGAGGUACAAUUUUUUGUUGAAGGAUUAGAGGUUGAGGGUAAGAGGGUGGGGUUUGAGACAGAGGGACAUGAUGGUUUAGUAGGCAAAGGCUUUGGGAUGAGAGGAGACAUACCAGAAGCCUUAUUAGUUUGGAUCGGAGAAGAGGGUUUAGGAGAUAAGACUUUGAAGUUUUCUAGGUUAAAGUGAACAGUGUUUCCAGAUCUGAAAGUUUCAGAGGUGGAACACACAGUGACUUCAGAUGCUAGACCAACAGGAGUGGCACAAGCAGCAGUUUUUGAGACAGAGCUCUUCACUACAGGCCCCAAUAAGUGAGCAGUUCGCAGUGAUGAGCGGGUGGGUUUGGGAGAAGAAGAGAGUGGGGGGAAGUCAGGGUCAGGAGGGUCCGGUGGGUGGGGGGGGACAGGCAGGAGGCUAUCACCAGAGGUGAGACGCGGCGGAGACAGGGCGGAGACACUGUUCGGAGGGAACCAGGGGUUCGCCAUAUGCAGUUUAAUUCUGAACUUUUGUUGUUGUCUAUAUAUUGACGUCGAAAUAAAUAAUUAAGUUAUGAAGCCAUAAUAUAUAUAUAUAUAUAAUAAUUUUGUUUUAUUUCAUUCAACAUUACACUUCAUAACUGAAGCCUCAGACAAUUUUCAAAGACCUGAUAUUAAAUCCCUUUGUUGGUGCAACAGCAUUUUUGAGAUUUUUUAUCACAAUAUCCUGUAGAGAACCCAUCCACCAUACAGUCAUGGGCACAUUCGAAAAGCUCGUACUUUCCAGGCACACAUGGAACAUCGCAAACAUCACCAUUUGCUGAGUUAAUCACUACACAAAUACAAUCCAAGUCAAGAUUACAAUUAUGAGUAUAGCUUGGGCAAAUUGACAAACGAUUCUAUAGGAAAAAACUUUCGCAAAUUUUUUGAACCUUUUUGCAAUUAAUGGCUCUGAUCACAGUCCUAGUCUCCAACCUCCCAAUCGGAUCUGUUCAUCACCUAAUACGGUUAUAGGUUUCGGAACCACCGCAUCUCCACAGCCAGAGCAGUUGUUGCUGAAACAGACGGUCCUCGACGCCAUCAAGCUCGGUUAUCUCCAUUUCGACACAUCUCCAAGGUAUCUCGAUGAAGCUCUAUCGGAGACGAUUUCUUACCUCAAACUGACUUGACCAAAAUAUAACACCACAAACUAUAAUUUCAGGUAGUUUCCUACAUGAUUUAACUUUUAAAUAACUCUAUAAAUUUGUUAAAAGGUUAGAAAAUAAAAAAAGGACCUUGCGAUUCUGUGUUCGUGUUAUGCAAGAGCAUGAGUUGGUCGGAAUUACCGAACCGGAAGCCCUCCGUCGGGAUUGGGUGAAUAGUUUCUGCAACUUCAACGAACACAGUUUCAUCUCUAAAAUCUGAUAGACACAGGGGCAUCAUCAAACCAAAAACUCAGGUUGCUUCUUGUAACAUCAAACACUCGGUUCAUAAAGCUUCUUUCAAGAUAUGUCUAAACUUAGAGGAAUGCAAUUGUGAUUUUGUUUGAGAAAGAAAGUAAGCUACUAACCUGGAAGAAGAGCAUGAUUUACCAACGCUUCUCAGACGGCCUAUAUAUACACAGAAACUGAUCACCGGCAAAUGUGAAAUGAAAUUGGAAGUUCAAAAGGUACGAAGCUCAGGCGGAGAUCUCUGCGUCAGGAAGAAAUAGGUCUGAUAAAGGAUCACAAAUUAAUGGGUCAUAACUGGUUAUAUAAGGCUCAGUGUAUGCAAUCAAAUGGAACUUACGGUACAGAAGCCCAUUAAAUAACACACAACACAAUUCGGUUUAUUUGUACUAACGAAGUUAAGCUGCCACGUAGCAGUAAAUGCCCCUAUGUAAACGAUGAUGUGGAUGCAUAAGGAGAGAGACAAGGCAACUUUAUUGUAUAAGAUACAUAGCUCUAUUAUUGGAUCAAUCAAUUUUGUUGAAUCGUACAAUGCAACAAAAUAUUUUAUUCUAUAAUUGAAGAUCCAUCGGCCCAAUGAAAACAUCUUAUAUAUCCAUUUAGUGACUGCCUAUAAUUCCUCUUAUUCCUUGGUGGAGCUGGAGUAUCCUCUCUUUUUGUGUGAAUGCUAAAUUGAUUGCAUCUACGUAACUUAGUGAAACACUUGCUCAAAUAAAGGUCUUUCAAGUAAGAUCUUUGUUCAGCUGUUACUCAAAUGAAUAAAGAGCUGGUAUAGACAGAAACUUUUGUUGUAUAGGUGGAGAUCAGUUUUCCGCUUCUUAAGAAUGUAUUAGCCAAAUAACAUUAAUACACUUGAUAUAUGCUACGUUGAGUCCACUGCAUGUUUGUGGGUUCAACAUUACCAACGCCUCAAGGAAAAAAAAAUUAUAAGAAAUAAAUAUGACGUAACUACUUGAAAUUUUACCCAAGAAAUGGUGGGAAGGUUUCAUACUCCAUUCCUAAUGCCAAGACAAGAAUUAGAGAUAAAAAUAAGACCUGUAGAAUAAGUCUAAUCAGGAUUAGCAUCUAAUCUAUGCUAGAUUCCGUUUUAGCCUUUUAGGAUAAAUCCCCUCGAAUGACCGAAACAGAAGCUUUCAAGUUCAAACUAAUUUCGAGUGAAACAAUCGCAUAUCUUAUCACUAUAGCAUAUUAAUUACUAAAUAUGGUUGAAAUCAUAGUGUAAAUAUGGCAAUCCUAUUUUCAACUUCAAAAUGAGUUAUAUAGCCAACAUGACAUCGUGACUGAUUCAUAUUACUCAAGUCUUACUUUUACCCUUAAUAUAUAGCAGAUUCUAAUGAUUUUGCCUACUUAGAGGAAGAGUUUGAAUUGGGAUCCUUUGGUUGCUCUUGGAGGAAUGUAUACGUGGACAUUAUCCUUUCGAACGGUGGGUUUUUAAGUCUACGAAUUGGACUUUGUUACAACUAUUUCAACACGUGUAAACAUCAUAGGUCAUGUAUUGAGCAUGUCAUUUACACAUGGAAGCACAUAGAAGAGUUUAGCAACCUUUCCAUGCAUGUGACUUAAUAUUACUGGUUUAAUGUACUGGAUUAUUGUAUGUUAUGUAAAGGAUUUGAGAAGUUAAGGUAAGAGUGAAUACUUAAUAUCUGUAAAGAGGCUUUUAUUUAUAUCAAAAUAAAACAGUACAAAUGUUUAUAUUUUAGCAUUGGUGUAACAUAUCCUGAUUCUAGCUGGGAGAACUGCUAGCUGAGAAUAAAAAUUCGGUUGAAAUUGUGAUAUUUGAUUGUAUACUUAUCCACUGGUGUGUACUACUGUAUACUGCCUUCUGACCAAGAGAUUGAUGAUUAGUUAUAUUUGCACAUACUAUAGUUUUUGAUUGUUUCAUACCAUCAUUAGUAUGAUCAGUGAUAUUAUUGUGGACACAACCAUUAAUUUGUAAUAGAAGGGAAAUUUUACAACAGCACCAAUUGAUCUUUAAUUAUUUUGUCGUUAGAACCUCGGUGUUUUGUUCAUAAAUCACAAAUUAAUGGAAAAUACAAAAAAUAAAAGAAAAGAUAAUCGAGGCAACAUAACAAAAACUUAACUUGACGAAGGAACUAUAUAUUAAGCGUGGAAAACGGAUUGUAGUUUCUUAUAAUAUUUGUUAAUUCAGCGAUUCUUCAUCACAUCUCUAGUUAUCAUAGAUGAUUACGUCUGCCGAGAUCAGAUAUUAGUUGAACUCGAAGGGAAUUAAUCAGAACGAAUGUGCUUAUUGAUUCACAUUUUUGUCAUUAUCUUACCUCACUCGACAUAAUUGACCGGUCUCUUGUCGCCAAGUUUUGCCGCCCAACUAUAAAUAGAUGUGCUGCGCUCAUACACUCUUCACUACCCAAAAACAACAUCUUCACUCACAACAAACCGAACAAUUGCUAAAAUGACAAACCAAAACAUGGGCAACCUCAAGUCUCUCGCUCUCUUGGCUUUGCUCUUUUCCUUCUCUCUCGCUGUUUUUGCCGACACAUCCAAAGACGCCGCUACACAUGGUAUACAACUAUAUAUAUAGAGUUUUUCUUUUUAUGCUUUCACAUUAAUGAUGUUGGACUGUUAACUACAUGGCCUGACGUAAAAUAACUUUUAAACCACACGUGCAGCUAAGGAAGAAGUGAAACCAAGUGAAGCGACCGAUGCCAUAGCGCCACAACAACGUGGUUGUAGAUACGGAUGCUGCGGAGCCUAUGCUUAUGGACAGUGCGCCGCUUGCUGCAGCCGACCUCAGGCCGCGGAGGCCGAAACCGAGGCCAAUGACGUUGUUGUAGAGCCUGAGCAGCGGGGGCGUGGUGG